rnacentral:rRNA from 1 species
GCCACGGCCAUACCAGCCUGGGUACGCCCGAUCUCGUCUGAUCUCGGAAGCGAAGCAGGGUCGGGCCUGGUUAGUACUUGGAUGGGAGACCGCCUGGGAAUACCAGGUGCUGUAAGCA